UGAGCAAUCUGCCCUUCACUCUGGGAUAAGCCUCGGAAACGGGGUCUAAUACCGGAUAUGACCGCGCCAUGCAUGUGGUGUGGUGGAAAGUUCUGGCGGUGAAGGAUGAGCUCGCGGCCUAUCAGCUUGUUGGUGGGGUAAUGGCCCACAAGGCUUCGGACGGGUAGCCGGCCUGAGAGGGUGAUCGGCCACACUGGGACUGAGACACGGCCCAGACUCCGUAGGAGG
rnacentral:rRNA from 1 species